UGUCAAGUAGUUGUCAUAUUCAAUUUAUAUCACAUUCGCAUUAUGUAGCACGGUUUCCCCGAGAUCCUCAAGCUCACGCGGUCUACGACUCAAACACACUGUUUUAUUGAUUAGAGAUUCGUAAACAGUUUAUUCUCUCCAAAUGUUCCGCUUACCUUUUGGUGAAAGGGUCGACCCCAUGGAGGAGAAACGACAAGCUAGAGAAAACACCAUCAAUAGUGUUAUUACAUUUUGUAUACUCUGCGCUGCCAUAAGAGUCGCCCCACUGAUCCUGGAGCACAGCGGCAUAUAAACAACCCCAGCAGCCGUCAUUAUAUUACUCCGGCAUUCUGAUUUAGACUACCAUGGCAGCGAUCAUUCAUUCACUCCUCCAUGGGCUGUUCCAGUCCAAAUAUUAUGAAAUAAAAUUAUUGUAAUUAUUUUAA